CUCGUACUGAGGAGUCCCACAAUAGGACGAAACGGCAGUCCAG
rnacentral:hammerhead_ribozyme from 1 species